rnacentral:sRNA from 1 species
AACGGAAGUGAUAAUCGUUGUUAAGCAUCCGCUUUCAACCACUCGGCCACGCCCAGCGACCCAAGUCAACAGAAACGCAACCAACCAUUAUCUUUUCCUGAAAAACCUCCCCUCACAAUCCUCGCCCGAUCGAAAAGGAUCGUGAUCCCAGAUCGCUGCCGUGUCAAUGCUGCGCCGCCCCGGCCCGAGCACCGCCGCCUCGUCCCUGCCCUGACCCCGCCGCAUCCUCCAGUUCUGCCGUCGACGCUGCGCCGCCUCGACCCGCAUGUCGCCGCUUUAUCCUCUCCCGUGCUGCGCCGACGGCUGACCGGCACGCCGCCGCCUCAUUGCCCCGAUCGCGAUGGCCCCUGAAUCCCCUGACCCUGUUGCCUGGACCGCCACAUCGUGCUCCAUCUCGUCCGCUGCUGUUCUCAGCUGAUCUGGUUGAUCCCUAGUGACUUAGUUAUUAGUUAUUGAUCAUGCCCCAAGUUUCUCGAUGGAAUUGCAAUUGUGAAGAAUUAUUAGCAGAGAAUUCUUAACCAGGGAUGGUUCCAAAGAUGCUUGGCACAAAAAUUUAGCCAUUGGUGAAAGCAAAUAAUUUGAUCCAAAGAGUAACUCUGGCUGUUAAGUGACAAAUUGAGAUCUCAUUCUGCUACAUGAACAAUGGGAAAGCCAACCCAUACUUCGGAUUUUUUCCAAGCUGUAAUGGGAUGUUAAAUGUUCAUUGCCAUUACAUAUCUUUUCCUGUAAUCCAGUGACAUCUAUUUUAUGGUGAAGUGUUGCCUUGAGGAUGAUGGGAUAGAGGAAGAAGAAAUUGCUAAGGAGAAGAUAUUGUUGUUGCUGCCAAGUGCCCAAGUUACAGAAACUAAUGUUGAUCUGGUCACAGAGAAAAUUCAAGAUGAUGUUUUUUUUUUUGCAAGAUUCAACAUAUGUUUGUACUACACUCACUAAUAUGCUGUGGUGUAUACACAAGUUGUACUUAUAAGAGAUUUGUGAAUUAAUAUAUUGUGAUUUUUUUCUU